UGACGACAAGAGCUGGCUGAUGAAGUCUCGCUUAACACCGUCCAAUCAGACUGAGGAACGACCAUUGCAGCUUUAACAGGGCGGGACGCACCUAUUCCGAGAAAGGAAAAGUGAAAUCUAAGACCGACGGCGGAAAAACUGGCAAUCUAUGGGAUGUUGUCAAUGGGAUGCCAUGGUUCACAAUCAGCGAGUGUCUUGGAUCCGGGGGAUUCCAGGUUACGCGAAAGGCGGCGAUGGCCGACCGCAGAAGCCAGCUGGCGGUGCUGCGAUCUCCCUUGAGGAACCAGAAAUGUUGGAAGAGGACUGAAGGAUGACAAAGAACAGCUGGAGGAGACCGUAGACGGUGGACUACAGUCAACAGUGAGACACAUGAUGCUGAUUGUUCAGUAAUGAGACACAUGAUGUUGCAGCAACUCAGAAGACUGGUGGAGAAGAGUUGUCCCCAGUUUUACCGAUGAGCAGUGGAUUGAAAAUGUAAUUAAUAAAUUAUCCAUUUACCGCU